rnacentral:rRNA from 1 species
UACAGAGGUCCCAAGCGUUACUGAGAAUCACUGGGUUUAAAGGGUGCGUAGGUGGUCCGUUAAGUUCGUUGUGAAAUCCCCGGGCUCAACCGGGAAUUGCUUCGAAUACUGGCGGACUUGAGUCCUGUAGGGGUCACUGGAACAGACGGUGGAGCGGUGAAAUGCGUAGAUAUCGUCUGGAACGCCUGUGGUGAAGACGGGUGACUGGGCAGGUUCGUGACACUGAGGCACGAAAGCGUGGGGAGCAAACAGG